rnacentral:rRNA from 1 species
GCAAGUCGAACGAGAAAGUUUUCUUCGGAAAGCGCGUACAGUGGCGCACGGGUGAGUAACGCGUGAAUAAUCUACCCCUUAAUUUGGGAUAACAGUUCGAAAGGGCUGCUAAUACCGGAUGACAUAAUCCUUACCACGGUUUGGAUUAUCAAAGAGGGCCUCUCCUUGGAAGCUCUUGUUUGGGGAUGAGUUCGCGUACCAUUAGCUUGUUGGUGGGGUAAUGGCCUACCAAGACUACGAUGGUUAGCUGGUCUGAGAGGAUGAUC